UGGUGGACGACGGCGAGGCGCUCCCUCCUCCCCAACGGCCACAUGGACGGCAUCCACCCCUCCGAUGAGGAGGAGCGGCGCCGUCGCUGACCGCAGCCGCCGACGAGGUGGAGCGCCAGAUCCAGGCUAGGCCGGCUCACCGGUGAUGCGGCCAGAUCUGGAAAGGGGAGGGGGAGGAGUAGUGCAGCAGCAGCAGCAGCGAGGUGGCGAGGUGGAGCAGCAGGGGGCGACGGCUUGGAGGCGAGGCUGAAGCAGAAAGGGGCGACGGCGCUUGUGCAUCUGGGUUGUGGCGGCGUGGAGGAGAACACCGAGCGAUGGUUUUAGCUACUGCCUCGUGUGCUGCCUCCUCACCUAACGCAGGCACUAAAUGGGCCACAAGGCCACCUGGGUCUUAGCCCAGAUUUGCUGUUUUUUUAAUUAAGUCCCUAGGAUUUUAAUUAUUAACAAUAUUUCUAGUCUAUGUGAUGUAUCUAGUCAGUUUAGUCCUAGUAUUUUACUGUAUUUGUGUAAGAAAUAGUUCAGUGUUGCACACUUUAAAUUCCUAAAUAUGUAUUAGGAUUUAUAAACCAUAUUAUGUCCAUUGUAUAUGUACUCCUGUGCAUUUCACUAUGAUAUAAUAUAUUGUUCAAUA
rnacentral:lncRNA from 1 species